AGCCAAGAUCUUACCAUUGCACUUCAGCCUGGGUAAUAGGAGCAAAACUCUGUCUCAAAAAAACAAACAAACAAACAAACAAAAAAAAAACAAACCCUGUGAACUACAGAGGGUGCAUUUCCUAGGGAUGCCUGGAGAAAGUGGAGAGGAAAUUCUUGGGCUAACAGAAAUUCCCAUUUGGUGUGAGCAGGUACCUGAAGAGUUGCUGGUGACCACAGAGGCACUGGAGGGGCUGAGGGAUGGGUGACUUUGCAGUGGGAAGGAGGAGGCCUGUCUCAAUCAGGUACAAAAGAAAGCUUGUACAACAUAAAAUUUGAUCUUUAUAGGGAAGAACUUUAUAGGGAUGAUAACUCUUUGUUUUCCUUAGGAAAUAGGCCACUAUAUUUUUGUCUGCAAUAAAAACUUAAAAUGUAAAUAAUAUGCCUCAAUGGGACCUCUACCCCUAAUUUCCAAACUUGAUCAAGUGCAUGGUUUGGAAAGGCCUUUAUAUCUAACAUUAUCAGAAUCCCCCUGCUGUAUUCAAGUCAAAGGACCAAAAACAGACAUGAGAAUUGCCAAUGAAACCCUUCCAUUAAUGAAUACAUUUUUACAUAUUAUCUAAAUUCUCAUUAUAUUUGUUAUAACAUAACCUGUUUUAUACCAACUAGACAAAACGCUAAGUUAUUGUGUAUGGUUUUAAUUUCCUGGAUCCAGGAAUCUUCCAGUUUAAUCAAAUUCAACAUGGACUCAUUUAAUGACUACUCAAGUGUUUAUGUGUUAUUCAGCAGAUCUGUCUUAGAGACCUUAAAACAAUAUAGUACAUUUGAUUGUUUCAGUUCUUAAAAGAUAUUUACAAAAACAUAUUUUAGUUCAACAUAUAUGCAAAGGUAACUUAACAGCUAUUACACUAUCAUUAAAUAUCUUUGUUUUACAGUGUACAUUCCUGAAUGAGAUAAGCAGUUCUGUAAAUGACCUAUCAAACUUUAAUGUAGAAUAUAUAUACUUUCCAGUAGGCUGUAUAUUUGAUAACCGAUAACAUCAGAAGUAAAAGUUUCACAGCAUUAGUGAAUAAUAAUCCCUCUCUGUGGCUCAGUUCCUUUUCAUUUUAAUUGGUACUAAUGAAGUUUUGAAACUGAAUUUAUUUUUAUGACUGACAAAAGUUCUCUUCAUUUGAUUUCAGCUCCUAUCUGUUUCUUUACUGGUCUCAAAUUACAGAUUAAAGUAAGCCCCUUGGAUGAGCUGUGCAGAUGUUUCUGGAUAGAAGUAUGACAACUUCAUUCUCAAUUAUCCAGUAAUUAUUUUUAAAAGACUGUUAAGUACCUUAUAAAUAAAGUAUGAAUGGCAACAACGAAAGAAUUCAACCAAUGUGGUUUCCCUCUGAAAGAGUGAAAAGGUUGUUUUUAAGAAAUAAUGAACUGCCACACUGGAUAGGAAAAAAAAAAAAAAAUCCUAAGAAUAAUCAUGCUUCCUAACCAUAGUGACAUGGUGAAUGAUAAGAAGCACUUCACUUGUUGAACGCUCCACGGGAUUACACUCAGAGCACGAAUGCUAUGGAUCUGUUCUAGCUCCCUGUCUUCACUGAUGAGUUACUUAAGGCCUGAUUCUCCGAUGCAGAACUCUCUCUUGAACAGGAAGGAGAGGGCCUAAUGCAGGAGGAAAGGGGUAACAGAACACUGGGCUUUGCAAACAAACCUACACACCUUUGGAAGUACACUGGCCAGAACUUCUAAAGCACUGUUGAGGAAAGGAGAUAAUAGUAGACACACUUGUUUUGUUCCUGAUCUGAAAAGGUAAGUUUUCCAUUUUAUCACUAAAUCCGACUAAGGAUCUAAAUGUCAUUAUAGUUACCUUUUAUCAGAUUAAAGAUGUUCUAUUCUUGGUCUGGUAAGAAAUGUUUAAAAUCAUGAAUGAAAUCAGAAUGUAAUCGAAAACAUUUUCUGCAUCUAUUGAGAAGAUGAGAUUUUUCUCCUUAAUCCGCUAAUGUUAAUUACCCUGAUAUAUGUAUCUUGUUGAUUUAACAAUAUAUUCUGAAAAAAAUCACUGAAUAGUAAUUUUCCUAAUUACUUUCUGUAAUAUUCCAUAUAUUGACUACUUAUUCAGCCAAUUUUCGUAUGGCACUUAGGUUGUUUCUAAUAUAUUACUAUCACCAAAAAUACCUCAAUAGAGAACCCUGUAUAUAUGCAAGUAUUUUUAAAAAAUUGUUUCCAUAUUAUUGGAGGUGAACCUUCAGAGUAAAUUCCUAGGAACAGGAUUGCUAAA